UUUUAAAUUAUUUUGGUAUAUUGUGUAUAAUAUGAUUUUUGUACUGAAGCUGAUGAGUUGGAAUGGUUAUUCAGUGGCGAUUUUAAUUUAUUAAUUAAUUUAUUUAUUUUUAUUUGUACUUUGGAUUUUUGUGAUAAAACUAAAUUAAUUAUAAGGUCCGUUGAGAACUGAAAAGUUAAAAAUUGGAUUCUCCAUGAUUAUCUUGGUUUGUGUGGAUAUUUAUUAUUCAGUAAUAUGCUUAUGCAAAAAUAAAGGUUAGAGCUUCACAGGAGAGGUAAAAGAUCUUGUUGCCUAAUAAAGACAAAUUGAAGGCGGAAGACAAUUAUAAAUCUGUAGGAAAAUUGAGCAAAAUAUAUUUAGCCUGAUUUUAUAUUGAUACCAGUUUUCAAUUGAUAUCCAAAUAUAGAAAUUAAGUUUUAAUGGUUAAGGAUUGUAGUAUCGGAAAUUUGUUUUCUUAGCUAUAUUGCAAUAUCCAUUCAACUGUGUUAGCAUCAUCAGGAUAGGGCCCUUCUAUAUUUGGUGAUUGGUAAGUUGUUAUUGUCGGGACAUAAGGAAUAUGUAUGAAUUGUGGUCCAGCUAAUCUCAUUCUUGGUCAUCUUCAACGCAAAGCAUUCACUCGUAGCUCUAAAUACUUCUGUUUAAUUGUUGUCUGUUGUUGUAACCUGACUUUCUUUCCUUUGAUUGCACAUUGUAUCUUUCUUCGCGGUUUCCUCCACUGCCCCAUUUUGGUUGCGCCCUCUCCCAGUUUGAUUUCCCAUGCAGCCGUGCUUACUUGAAGCAUUACUUUGGCCUGGAUCUUGUAUAUUUUUUAUUUGCUAAAUAAGUUGAGAUUUGUGAUGGCCUUGCUUUUGAAACUUAAUGAAUAGGUCACAAGUGUGAAUGCAAGUAGUUAGUUUAUAAGAUUGUUGGCAACAAUGUUAAGAAAGGUGUAAAAAGGUUUAACUAGGCAAAGUGAGGCGUAUUCAUCAAGUUGGACCAAUAAAAUAAUUCCAGAAAUCGAAAAAUAUGUUCAUAAUAAACAAAUUAACAAAAUUGAAAGUCUAAUUUGGAAAGAUUUUCGAUCAAAAGUACUAUGUGAUAUCUUCAGUCUUUUCGUCUUCCUCUAUCCCAAUCCCAUAGGUACACUGAAAAGCAUAAUAGAGAAAAAUGGUAAGUUCUCAAAUUACUGAUCAUGUAAUAAAAUUACAAUCACCAGAAGUAGAAAACUCUGAAAUUUCUAAUAUGACGUUUGAAGGAACCAUCAACAUCAUUUUCCAUGUUGCAAUAUUUAUUUCUCAUUUCUUGUCAACAAGAAGUGUAUUCUUCUUUCCUUUUUCUUCCAUCUAAGCAGAAAAAAAUAUAGUAGAACUAGUAAAACAUUUUAGGUUACGCAAAAUUAAAUCAAAAAGCAAAUACCAAUUAGAAAAAUGUCCACAAAUUGUAAGAAACCUGAUUUUAUUAUUGUUUUUCUUAAGGAAAAAAAUGAAUCGGAACCAAACAGGCAAUACAUUAGUCACCUUGAGGUGUAUGCCUCACAAAUGGCAGUCUACCAGGACUCGAGGCAUAUGCCUCAAAUAGUUUUCUUCUUUUAAAAAUAGUUUUGUUUGGUUGAAGUUUGUUAGCUAAAUAUGGACAUUAUUUUGGGACCCCUCAGAAUUUGCCAGGGUGCUCGUGAGGAUAGAAAUUAUUUUGUGUAUGUAAAAUUGUUGGCGUUCUGGGUGCCUGGUCCCCAUAUUUCUUCUAAAUCUCUCUUCUGCAAUCUGAAAUACCAGGUCUAGCAUCUUAGUGUUACUUUCCAAGUCAAUCCCCUUUGCUUUCUCCUGUGUGGAAUUGGAAGAAGUUUUUUCACCCCUGGUCCUGAAUUCCCGGAGAAUAUGCCAGUUGCAGAAAAUACUCAGAUAAUUAUUAUUUAAGACAAAAUCAUAGUUUUUCCUUCAUUCUUUUAAUUUUUCUGUAUAUUCCAUGGCUUUGAUGAGUAUUAGCCGACUCAAGAAGCAAUAUCUUGUUUAGUUGGAAUCUUUUUAGGCAGAAAUAUGAACAAAAGGUCGAGUUUUGAAAAGGCAGUUGUAAUUUAUUUAUCAAGAAGCGUUUUGGUACAUUUCUUUUCAGCACGUUUAUCAUAUUUUUUAAAGAAUGCAUUACGUGCAAUUGGUAUGCCAUUGAAGGUGAUUUUUCAUAUUCAUUAAUGCUAAAGAGUGCUUUAGCAUUCAAUGAGUUUCCAUUCCAUACAUUCCUUUUAGCAUCUGAAACGCACACCCCCCCACCCCAAAAAAAAAAAAAAUAAUAAUAAUAAUAAAAUAAAAUUGAAGAGAGGAAAGAAACGAAGAAAACAUGCACACAAGCAUGACUAAAAUAAUGGAAAAUUUAUUUAUACCUUCUCCUUGAGCUAGCUGGAGAGAGAUGUAGGUCUGUUAUGGACUUAAGCUACCUUUUUAUGCGAAAAAGUUUAAUAUAGUUAUCUUAUCACUAUUUAGGAGUUAAAACUGCAUCUUUAUCCAUAUGAUUGGCUUCUGAAUAGUGCAUGAAAUCAGUAUAUGUGUGCAUGUAGUGUAUUGAGCUGGCUUGCAAUACUGUUUUGUAUCUUUUCUAAGAGAAGUUUUAUUUGUCCGGUUUUGUCUUGAAUGUAUUAUUCUAGUAAAAGCUGUAAUUUGAAAAUAAGUGAGUGUAAAUGGAGUGAUUACGAUAGUUCCUUCACAGUUAAGCUUAUGAUCAUUGAUAAUAUUUUGUGAAGAAUGUGUUCUGUGCAAGUCUGAUGCCAUUGAAGGUGAUUUUCUUAUCUAUUAAUACUCCCACUCAAGGAGAUUCCAUUCCAUAUUUUCUUUUAGCACCUGACAUUUGCUUCCCCCUGGAAACAGGAAAGAAAAGAAGAAAAUGUGCGCAUGAGUUUGACUGAACUGACGGAUAAUUUAUUUAUAUGUACUCCUUGCGGUCUCUGGAGUGAGAUGUUGUGGGUUUGUUAUGGACAUAAGCUACCUAUUUGUGCAAAUAAAGUUCAAUGCAGUUAUCUUAGACUCUUUAGGGGAGAGAAGCACGGCGUCUUUAUCCAUCAUGAUUUACUUGAGAGCAUGAAACCUAGUAGAUAUGUGCAUGUAGUAUCAUGAGUUGAUUGCUAUAUUUUUAUUAAUUUUUUUUUUUUUAACUUUUUCAGAUUAAGUUAUUGGUCUCCCUCUCUUGAAUGUAUCUUUCUGGUGAAGUAGUAAUUUUUUAAACUGAGUACGUAAAUGAAGUGAUAUGACGGCUCGUGCAAUAUCAAGCUUAUGAUAAUUGAUCAUAUUUUAUGUGGAAUGCGUUAUAUGCCACUGAAGGUUAUUUUCAAAUCCAUUAACAACAAACGAUGCUACUGUCCAAGGAGGUUCCAUUCCAUAUAUUCUUUUGGCACAUAUUAUUUGCCUCCCCCAAGAAAAAUGAAAGAAAGAUGAGAAACAUGAGCAUGAAUAAGCUAAUGAAAAAUUUCUUGUACUUUUCUACUACAGGUUUUGGGAAUUAGAUGAUGUAGGUAUUUUAUGGACAUAACCUACCUUUCUAUGCAAAAAAGUUAUGACUAUUAGAAGUUAAAAUUACUGUGACUCUAGCCAUUACUAUUGGCUUCUGAACAUAGAAUGAGACCUAGUUGGGAUGAGCUUGCAGUAUCUUGAGCUUUUCUCAAGAUCGAUACUGCUCGCUUUUCUCUUGAAUGUAUCUUCCUUGUAAAGUUGGAACUUGAAAAUAAGUCGGUGUAAAUGAAGUGAUUACAGUGAUUCGUGCAAUGUUAAGCUUAUUAUGCGGACUCAUAAAGUUCCUUGUAGAGAGUUUGAUUUUCGGGGUGACAAUAUGCAUUAUUCUCUUCUUGCAGCAGGGAAACUUGAAUAGUGUGGUGGUGU
rnacentral:lncRNA from 1 species